AUUUUUUUAGUACAGUAGUACAGAUGACUUCCAAUUAUCUAGCCUUGGUUUAAAUCCAAGAAAAAAUA
rnacentral:tRNA from 1 species